rnacentral:rRNA from 1 species
UACGUAGGGGGCAAGCGUUGUCCGGAAUCAUUGGGCGUAAAGCGCGCGUAGGUGGCCAUUUAAGUCCGCUGUGAAAGUCAAAGGCUCAACCUUUGAAAGCCGGUGGAUACUGGAUGGCUAGAGUACGGAAGAGGCGAGUGGAAUUCCUGGUGUAGCGGUGAAAUGCGUAGAUAUCAGGAGGAACACCUGUGGUGUAGACAGCUUACUGGACCACUUCUGACGCUGAGACACGAAAGCGUGGUAGCAAACAGG